CACAACUUAUUAUUGCAACAUAACUUAUGUGACAAAUAGAGCACACUGAUCAAUAAAGGAACAAGUAACACAACGCAUUUUUCAUAGCACUGUUUUUAGUGUGGUAUCAAACUGAAAACAGUAUUUCAUUACCACCAUAAUAAUAUUCUUCAUAUUGUUACAAGUAACACAAUUUUCUCAACGGUCACCAUAUGAUCCUGAUAACUACUCUAAUGGGUAUAAUUGAAAUUAACAGUGUUCCAAAUGAAAUGAAUUCACAAUACAACUCCAUACAUUUGAAUUCUUUUAAUUAUACAAAAAGGAAUUUCACAUGUAAGAGUUCUCCUACACUUACAUCAUUCUACUUUGUCUUGACAGUCCAAAUAUUUUGGUCAUAAUCAGGAACUUUACUUUCACUUUACAAUACUUCUGUAUAGUGAGAAUGUUAAUGGUUAAAAUGAAUUAAGCAGUCACUCAUACUUAUAAAGUAAACUACAAGUUUUAUCUAGAUUUUCCUCUGGCAGCAACUUUUACAUUUGUUUUCCUGUUUCUCACUAUGUGGGAAGAAGACUGGAGAGAGGAGAGGGGAAGGGUUCUUUUCUCUUUCUUGUAACUAUCCCGCAAUUUCUCUGCAGAGCUGGAAUGAACAAUUUUCAUAGAAAAUUCAACUGUACAUAAAAAUCAGGAGGCCCACGCUCUACCCACACAAAUGUAAAAUUUUUCAAUAAAUUAAUAUCCCAUGCUGCAGUUACAGGAAGCAUCUAAGUUUUCACAAUGAUGCAUUACAAAACACUUCAACAAUAAAACAAAAAAAGUUUCUCUGAAGCACUCUGGCUUGAUAAUGGACUAUCAGUUGGUGUUACUGUUACAUAUUCUGACCACAGACAACGAAAUGCAAUAAAGUGCUGUGACUUAUAAUAAUGUACUGUUUUUUAUGACUACCAUAUCAAUCAACAUCUAACAAUCUGAUUAGCAUGCUAUGUCAAUUUAUGUAUUGAGCAUAGCAUCAGGAAUUUUACAACACAAAUGAAGUAACCUUUUCCUGUGGGGAGAAAUGUGUCAUCAGAAAUAAACAUAUAGCAAUGAGUUGGUUGUGUGUAAUCACUUUUACAGAAACAUGAGUAGGGUUAUUAGCAUACAUCUCUUACUACUUACUGAAGUUGUUACAUCUGACAAGAACUUUUUCCAAUUUGUCCAUGACUUUUGCUAACAUUUUGUACUUUUUAUCAUCAUUCCAAUUUGUAAUUCUUCUCUUGCCAUCAUACGUUCAUUACCAUUCAGAGACUUUCAGGCCCUAUAAUUUCAGUUGUCACUGUUGUUUUCGUAUUCUACUUUUUUGAUUCAUUCACUAUUAGCAAUGACGUGGGUCAACUCUACAAAUUUACCAUUUUGCAAGUGAGGAAAGAGGGGAAACAGAGACAGACAGACAGACAAAUAGCUCCAACAUAUUUCAAUGGAGUGCAUAAUUAGCUAACACUCUAGUGCACAGGGGGAGAAAAAUAUGAAGUGUUUCAUUAUACAGGACAAUUUCAGAUACAAGUUAAAUUUACUGGGGACUUGUAUUUUUCAGUUGCUCCCUCCCUCCCACCACCAUAAAUGUAUCAACCAACUAGCAUUCUAUAUCUGUAAAAAUUGAUCUUUUGAGGCUUCACUGUACUUGCGAGUAUGGGAAAAAUCUAGUACACUGGCACACUUACCACAACAAGGGCUACAAACUCAUAAAUGAUGUGUUACAUAAAAUGACUGAUGUUGCACUGUUUUAUAUAAAUACAUGGAUCCAAACAGAAAGUAACUAAAUACUAAGCUGCAAUGAGCCCAUAAAUGCUAUCAUUCCAUGUUUUGGUUCGGUUCAAGUUUCUUUUUAUGGGGGCAAAGAUAAACAGAAUAAAUAACCUUACUCUACAAGGUGCUAAUGCUGUCAGAUCUUGCAAAACACAUAACCAAAUGAAUAUUUCAAGUAAAUGUUGCGUGCCAACAGUGUCUGGAUGGAAACUGACCCUCUCCUCCUCUCACUGUGUGUGUGUGUGUGUGUGUGUGUGUGUGUGAGAGAGAGAGAGAGAGAGAGAGAGAGAGAGAGAGAGAGAGAGAGAGAGAGAUAGAUAAGAGGAGGGGUGGCGGAGGAAGGGAGGGGCUAGCAGGAGGAAAACCGUUAAAGAAACAAGGAGGACAAGGACAGAGCUACGGAAAUAUGAUGUAAUUAGCUUCCACAUUACAAUAAACUGUAUCAGUGCUUGUGUCAGCUAUACUUGUUCGUGACCUGCUUCAGCUGCCUCGAGUCAGAAUUACUGUUAGUAAAAAGUAAGCAAUAUUUACAUUUUUCAAAUUAUUUAUAUAUUCAAUAAGAAGUAUUGAUUAUCACAUUUAUGAAUGAUUUUGCAUUUAAUGCUGAAUUAAUUACAUGUACUUAUCUUGGUAUGUACAAAGAAUGAAAAUAAAUACAUGUAUUACAAACAAUGAUUAUCGGUUUUCUGUACAAGAUAAUAUUACGCAAUAUGCAAAACAAAAUGCAAUUUUGUAUUUGCAUGGCCAUAAGAAUCAAUCCGUAUGGACAUAUAUGUACAGAACGACCAUAUAGGUCGUCAACAUUUUUUUCAUGAUGUGACAUUUUCGCAUUAUGAUGGCAGUAAAUUAAUGUGGAAUGCACACGGUUCAUCUACACCGCAAUGUUACAUUCCUCUGACUGUAAACAACAAGUCAGUCUAUCACAGUAAAAAAUACUCUACUACAGUAAACAAAUCCACCAGUAACAUCACCACCACAUAUGACUUACGAUAUACACUAGCCUGGCAGCAGUACAAAAAUUCAGUAAUGAAAUCAACAUAGCUACAUUUUCUGCAAUUUGUGAAAUUUGUCACUGUGAUCAAUGAAAAAGAAAGCUACAAAUAGAUAAAAUACUCUUAACAGCUUCAGACAGCUAUAAAAGCAAAAAUGACUUCACACUAGCAACAAACAACAAACAAUAAUUCUAUAUGUUGUUACACUUCAUUUCAAGUGUAACACAUUUUCAGUCUUCGGUUACGUUUUAUCCUUUGAAGUCAUAGU